rnacentral:rRNA from 1 species
UCGGAAGCUAAGCAGGAUCGGGUCUGCUUAGUACUUGGAUGGGAGACUGCCUGAGAAUACCAGGUGCUGGAAGCUU